rnacentral:tRNA from 1 species
CACGUAGCGCAGCCUGGUAGCGCACCGUCAUGGGGUGUCGGGGGUCGGAGGUUCAAAUCCUCUCGUGACCA